rnacentral:lncRNA from 1 species
GCUGGUUUCAGACCACCCAGCCCACUGAAUUUGUGAGGUCAAAGUAGAACUCCCACCCCCAAGCACAUCUCAGUGGUAACUCAGAGGAGGCAAUGACUUCUCUUGCUGGAGAGACCAGUCGGGCAGCCUUGGUACUAGGGCUGGCACUCUGAGCUAGGCUAUUAGGAGAGGCCUACGCACAGGUAUUUCAGGUGGAGGGAACAGCAGGGGCAUGAACAGUCUGGUUUGCCUGAGCUGGUGAAGGGUGUGAUAGAGGUACAAGGGGCUGGGGGCCACCUGCUAUCUGUCCAGCCAUCACGUAUUCCUCUGAGUCUGUCAAUGAGUGCUGAAAAGAAGCCUGAGGCCACGCUGUGAAGCCUCAUCUGAUGAUGCUGACUCUAUUUCCUCAACAUCCAGGAGCGAUGUCUCUAUAUUUCUCAGACUGACUGCUGGUAAUAGGCCUUCUGGCUGUGAAAGGGAAAGGGGCGGGGCCACCAGGCAAAGUGGCUCCAGGCUAUUGACUCUGAUUCUGUGGUCCCAGCGACCUCCGACAGGGGCACUAGAAAUUAAAGGUCACAACGCCAGCCCCCUGGGUAGUUUCCAGGGUGGUGGGCCUUUGGCAACUUGAGACCCCCACUGUGUGGGAGACUAGGUUGGGUGGCUGGUGAGCCGGUCAUGUCACUGCUUGCCCUCCUUC